rnacentral:rRNA from 1 species
AGUGAACGCUGGCGGUAGGCCUAACACAUGCAAGUCGAACGGCAGCACAGUAAGAGCUUGCUCUUACGGGUGGCGAGUGGCGGACGGGUGAGGAAUACAUCGGAAUCUACUUUUUCGUGGGGGAUAACGUAGGGAAACUUACGCUAAUACCGCAUACGACCUACGGGUGAAAGCAGGGGAUCUUCGGACCUUGCGCGAUUGAAUGAGCCGAUGUCGGAUUAGCUAGUUGGCGGGGUAAAGGCCCACCAAGGCGACGAUCCGUAGCUGGUCUGAGAGGAUGAUCAGCAACACUGGAACUGAGACACGGUCCAGCCUCCUACGGGAGGCAGCAGUGGGAAUAUUGGACAAUGGGCGCAAGCCUGAUCCAGCCAUACCGCGUGGGUGAAGAAGGCCUUCGGGUUGUAAAGCCCUUUUGUUGGGAAAGAAAAGCAGCAGGUUAAUACCCCGCUGUUCUGACGGUACCCAAAGAAUAAGCACCGGCUAACUUCGUG